CGGGACUUUAGGAAUGAGUGGAGCACAUAGCAUUAUGAUGCCAUUAUGCUCCCAAUGACAGCUCCAGAAAAUGUUAAAAGGAAAAUUCUCUACCAGGUGAUGGAUAAAACCUUCAUUUUUUUUUUUUUUUACCUCACUUGGGCUAGAUUGAUACUCAAUUAACUCAACGAGAUCUACAUCUUUUUCAGUGAAGUAUUUGUCCAGAGAAAGACAUGAAUCUGCGAACUUUACAGGAUCCUCAUCAUCGUUGCUACUAUCAAGCAAAUCCAACCCCUCAGGUUGAUUAUCAAAGCAACUGGUCAGUGGCAAAUGCCGGUCAGAAACACGCUGAUGUGAGUGAAUCUGUGACUUCAGUCGUCCUGGAAUCAUCCCAGUAGGGCAGAUAUGGGAUUGCUGAACUUGCUCUGAAUCUGUCUGAACUCGCUGAUUAUCAACCUCAGCAUCCAUAGGUUGAAUUGGUUCACCUUCAUCCUGGAGUGAAUGAUCAAUCGUCUCAUCUGCUUUAUGCUUUAAUUUACAGAGAACAAAAUGCAUCUGGUGGGGAAGGAUGUUUGUAGAUUGGUACUCAUGUAUGACCCAACUGGUCCUGAGUGGCUUAGAAUCACUGACUUUCUUGUAGAACACCAAACUCCUCUUGUUACCAAUCUCCCUACCUGUCUCCUCAGCUUUGAUAUGGCGUAUCUUUCCUGUGACUUUCCAGAAUCCAGCCCUCGUUGUUCUGUUGGCUCGUUUACUAUUAGAAUACUUGUAAUCAGGGCGACUGAAAAAAUACCAAGCUUGAUCAUUUGAUGAUAUUAAGCAACG
rnacentral:misc_RNA from 1 species